rnacentral:rRNA from 1 species
AAAACCCAACUGCACCUUUAAUUUUUAUAACCUUAUAACCUAUGAAGCCCUGUAUAGUUGGUUUUAGGUUGGGGCGACCACGGAGUACAACAAAACCUCCACAAUGAACGAGACCAACCUCUUAUCUAAGAGUUACCCCUCUAAGAAUUAAAACAUUAACAUAAAGUGAUCCAUUUUUUGAUCAAUGAACCAAGUUACCCUGGGGAUAACAGCGCAAUCCAUUUCAAGAGCCCUUAUCGACAAAUGGGUUU